CGCGUAGGCAUCGUGACUGCAAUAAUAGAUUCUAAAACUCCUUUCCUCUGUAACCUUCCUCGAGUUAACUUGAAUUUUUCUUUUCCACAAAACAAGUUGUAUCCAAUAUACUAUUAUAUUAUAUACUCAGUAUUUAUAUUAAUCUCAUCUUCAGAGUACUUCACCUUUCGACUCGAAUUCCGCGUGUCCCAAUAACCAUAUUUAUUAACAAAAGUAGAGCCCAAUACAAGCGUGAUUGAGAAGGCUACUUUGAAAAAGUUAGAAGCACGGGACUCUCAAAACGACUCGCACAUCUAGUACAUGUGGAAAUUCCAAAGUAGAUGGAUGUGAGAUCUUCCAAUCAAACGAAAUUUACGGUCUAUAAUCCCGACGAAAUUUUAUCGGAAGAAAUCACCGACAUUCUACCAUAAUUUGAAGGAAAUUAUUGGCGUUGCUCAUGUUGGUCUUAAGUUUCAAGAACUUUUCCCCAUCUAGUAGACCCCAAUAAAACUGUCCUGAUGACCCUGGGUUUUGCUUUCCAAAUGUGUUCCCAUAAUCCAGUGUAAAUCAUCGUAAUCCAGGAAAAACAAGUAAAAAAGCUGUAAGUUCGGCCGGGGUAAUCUUUGAAUACCCUCCACCACUUGGAACGAAUUUGGCAAUUCUCACAAACAAUAAAAUUCGUUAAAAAUUCUGUUAAAAUCUUAAAAAUACCAAAUGUAGGCGUUAUAUUAGGGUCUAUACGACGAGGUGGACCUGCAUAGCUAACUUUCGUCAUACCCCAUUACAAUAUCCAAAUGCGAAACUUAAAAAAAAUCGGUGAAUAAUAUAGCUAAAAUCAUCAUCAAUACCGUUAUAUGGGAGCUAUACGAAGACGUGGACCUGCACAUAAAAUUUCCUGUCUUUGGCUGUAUUAUCCAUUACGAACUUCAAAUACCAAAUUUGAAACAAUUCCGGUGAAUAAUGUCGCUAAAAUUAUUAAAAACCCGAAUAUCGGAAGGUACCCUUAUAUGGGGGCUAUACGAAGACGUGGACCUGCACAGACAAUUUCCUGUCUUAGGCUGUAGUAUCACCAUUUCGAACUUAAAGUACCAAAUUUGAAACAAUUCCAGUGAAUAAUGUCGCUAAAAUCAUUAAAACCCUGAAUAUCGAGAGUUACCGUUAUAUGAGGGCUAUACCAAAACGUGAACUCACAUGGCCCAUUUUCAAUAUUGCAGUCAUAAUAUACAUUUGAGUAAAAUUUUAUCAAUCUACUUUAUUUCGUUGAGAAGCUAGAGUGAUUUCCACAGACGGACCGACAUCGCUAAAUCGACAUAGAAUUUUAUGCUGAUCUACAAUAUUUAUACUUUGUGGGGUCCAAAAUGUAUAUUUCGAGGAGUUACAAACGGAAUGAAAUACUUUAUAUAUCCUUCUACUAUGCAAAGCAAAAUAACCCAUUAUCUUAAUCUAAGAAGCGCCAAUAGAGGACAAGGCCUCAUUCAGCAGCUACAGCGACAAACAUGUAAGUGGAGAGUUGUACCAAGAAAACGUUUAUUAUUGUAUCCUUGUACCAUUAUUAUUAUUGGUAUUGAUUUUCCUUUGCAAUCAUUGAUUUUGAUUUGCGAUGAGUGACUGUUUUGCAUAGCAACAAGAAACCAUUGUUGAAGUGAUCAGAACUAUUUGUUUUUGUUUGGUUCCGAUCUUCAUUUUUUUUGUUCUUUCCUUACUUCCCAACGUAAUGUUUGCUUGUAUCAUGUUUUGGCUGUGCGCUACAGUCAUUCGAUCGUACUCGACAUUCAAUCGAAUCAUUUGUCAUUUAAUAUUAUUAAAGUUAAAUAUUCUUGUAUCAUGAAAUUUAUAUUUAGUGUAACAAAUAUUUACCUACGGGUUAUUUCCUAUAAUUUACAAUUUAUUGCUAUAAAGCUAACCGGUUUAUAGCAAUAGAAAAAACAUUUUUUAAAAUAUCUUCUAGGUUUUCUUAUUAGUUUCUAAGUGGGUGUGAACAUUUAACCAACUAACUUACAAAUGUAGGGACUUUAGACUUUUGUCUUGUUUUAGGGUGAGAGAGAACAAGAAUUCCCCCAUGUUGGCUAAUGGCUAGCUUCUUCAAUGAAUCCCGUUUAUUCCCGUUCGUUCAAUAUUCAGAAUUGUCAACAACUUGUUAACUAUGAUCAAUUGGUAUAAACAUGCAUACGUAAGGCAAUCUCCAGCGAUGUGAAGGAGUAAACAAUAUGUUUAUGCUGUGAUGGCGUUUAAACAAGUAGCAACAAUAUGCGUAGCUGGAGCCUUUGGGAGCGCCGUUAACGGGUAAAAAUCUAGUUCAUGCAAAAAGACCGCUAGUAAAAAGGUAGCAGCAACAUACGUCGGUAAAGAACAAUCAAGCGCAAGUAAAGUUAAAACAACUUGUUUACGCGAAGGGAUAUCGAAGUAAAAGUUACCAAUAACAUGCCUCGGUAAGGUAUUGUCAAGCGCCGCGAAGGAUAUGUUUACACAAAGGGACAUACAAAGCGAAGGUAUGUGAAAGCACACCGUCCUGAAACCGAUGCCUAUAAAAGGAGUGGCCAGCUGUGAGUGGGGAUCAAUCAAGUGAAGACCGGUGACAUAAUCAAGUGCGUGAGUUAAUUAGGCAGUGGCCUCUUAUCAACAAAGUGAGUUUCAGUAAGCCACUCAGCCACAGGGUUCCGAUCCGUAGAAGAGCUGCAGGUGGAUUCGCAGAAGCGGAGGGAAAUUAGCAAUAAUCUACUCCCGCGAGUUCUGGAGCCCGGCCUAGGACCCCCAUAAUAUGUGAAACAGAGGGUUUCCCAAGUCGCCGCUAGGCAGAACUUCAAAUUUGCCCAGAUAAUUUAUAGUUGAAUAAUAAAACAGGGUAUCUCUGCCAAAACAAUCCUCCUUAUUAAAGUCGCUGACAUACACAAAUCGUGCCAUGACAGUAGAGCCCGAGCAGGGACAAGAGUAAAGAGCAAACAUGAUACUACUAGAGAGGUAACUAACGGUUUCCUAAUAUACCUACCACGUUGCGUACAUUAUGGGAGAAUUGGGGAGCUAUUUAUAUGAGUUCGGGUGGAAAUAAACGGGUCGGUUGAGGAAAUGCGAAUAGGGUUUGCACUAUUUCUGGGAGUGGAGCAUGAUAAAAAUGUUCUCGGAAGGCUAUUGCGUUAGCAGGAAUUUCAUAUGCAGUCCACAUCCAGACAGGACAGUAAGUGCAGCGUAUAAUCCAAGAAAACGUCAGCUCUUGUGGUGACUAGUUCUUGUGGGGUGACAUCUCCUCUGAGAUAGGCAGCCCAACACAACUAGCCUCACUUGGUGAUCAAAGUAAAGCACCGCCAAACAUGCAUAUUCGAGCCGAAGCCAGGCAACUUCGUAAGUGGAACGUCAGAUUCGAUGGAGCCCAGGACCCUUUGGAUUCCUUGAUCGAGUGAAAUAAUCGGCCAAUAUGUACGUCCUACAGUCGGAAGUUCUGAGAGACAAGGUUCUAGUGUUGUUGUUGAAAUCAGGCAAUUUUAUUUUGUUGGCAGUGCGGACGAUGUAGUGUGUGCACUAUAGACUGCUGUUGCAGUAACUCGGCAAACGAGAGUCGCACUCGUCUAUUGAACACAUCCCCUCAAUUGAACACAUCCCUACACAUGCAACCAAACAAACUGGUGGCAGCCUGUAAUGGAUAGGUGGGCCUUUUGGAGCGCCGCUAAGGUGUAAACAUCUUGUUUAUGCAAAGGGACCGCUAGAAAAAAGGUUGCAACAUCAUAAGUCGGUAAGGAAUCAACAAGCGCCAUUAAAGUGAAAACAAUUUGUUUACGAAGGGAUCACGAAGAAAUAGGUAACAACAAUUUGUCAAGCGCAGCGAAGGUGUACGCAACAUGUUUACACAAACUGAUUAAGAACUGCCUGUAGCAACAACAUACAGAGCGAGCAUGCAACCAAACAGACUGGUGGCAAUCAUUGCGAUUGGAGCAAUUCGGAUUGCGCCCACAGUUUACACAAGAGCCACGACUUCCUCCAUCAGUGAAACCUGCGUGGCCAUAUUGGGGUCUUUAUCGGUAUGUGCUUCCUCUAGUCAAGAUAAACAGAAAAUACAAACGUAUUUGGGCAAUGAGCCUCAGCAGUUCCGUGAUAUAAAGGGUGUUUUUUAAGCUAGAUAGAACUUUAAAUUGUAAAAAGUAUCAUAAAAAAUUAAAUUUUGAUGAAACUUU